GGCCGUCAAUGGGACCGGGCGCCAGGGAGCAGGGGGCGGCGCUCAUUGGGGAGGCUCAGACAGCCCAGGAGCCCACAGGGGUGGGGAGGCUCAGGCAUGGCUGGCUGCAGGUCCUGAGCCCCACCCCGCGGGGGUGCAGCUGAGGCCCGGCGAGAAUUCCAGCGCAGCGCAGCGCUGGCGGGCCGGCACUGCUGGGGGACCCGGCUCACCCUCCGCAGCUGCUGGCCCAGGUGCUAAGCCCUUCACUGCCUGGGGCUGGCGGCGCCGGCCGCUCAGAGUGUGGGCCGCGGAGCCCACGCCUACCCGGAACUCACGCUCGCCCUGGAGAGCGGGUGUGCAGCCCCAGUUCCCGCCCGCGCCUCUCCCUCCACACCUCUCUGCAAGCAGAGGGAGACGGCUCCAGCCUCAGCCAGCCCAGAGACGGGGUCCCACAGUGCAGCGGCAGGCUGAAGGGCUCCUCAAGCGUGGCCCGAGGAGACGCCAAGGCCCAGGAAGCGCUGAGAGCGAGAGACGGCCGCCAGCACGUUGUCACCUCUCACAGUGACCUUGGCAGAUGCGUGGAUGCUGACGAAAAUUGUACAAGAGAAUUUAUGAACAAAAACAAAAGAGACAAAUGGCGAAAAAUAUUUGAAGUACUUUUUCUUGGGCUGGCUCUUCUCCAAAUGACAACUGAUAAUUAGAUUAUGAUGACUUCAAUCUCGGGAACAGAUUUUCAUGAAACUUAACUGAUGAUGAGACC
rnacentral:lncRNA from 1 species